ensembl:lncRNA
UUUUUUGUUGUUGUAAUAAUGACAAUUAGAACAAUACUGAAUUAACACUUAUUUUAACUUAAUAUAAUAUAUCAAUACAAUUAAUUUAGCCUCAAAUAAAUAAUGAAACAUGUUCAAUUUGGUUUAAAUAAUGCAAAAACAAAGUGUUGGAGAAGAAAGUAAGAAAGCUAACGUUUAAGUUCCUUGCUCAGAACAUGAGAACAUAUGAAAGCUGGUGGUUCCUUUUAACAUGAGUCUUCAAUAUUCCCAGGUAAGAAGUUUUAGGUUGUAGUUAUUCUAGGAAUUAUAGGACUAUUUCUCUCUAUACGAUUUGUAUUUCAUAUACCUUUGACUAUUGGAUGUUCUUAUAGGCACUUUAGUAUUGCCAGUGUAACAGUAUAGCUUCCGCCCCUCUCCUUGCCGCUACCUGGGCUCGAACCAGGAACACAACGACAACAGCCACCCUCGAAGCAGCGUUACCCAUGCAGAGCAAGGGGAACAACCACUCCAAGUCUCAGAGCGAGUGACGUUUGAAAUGCUAUUAGCGCGCACCCCACUAACUAGCUAGCCAUUUCACAUCAGUUACACCAGCCUAUUCUCGGGAGUUGAUAGGCUUGAAGUCUUAAACAGCAGAGCUGCUGGCAAAACACAUGAAAGUGCUGUUUGAAUGAAUGCUUACGAGCCUGCUGGUGCCUACCAUCGCUCAAUCAGACUGCUCUAUCAAAUCAUAGACUUAAUUAUAACAUAAUAACACACAGAAAUGCAAGCCGUAAGUCAUUAAUAUGGUCGAAUCCGGAAACUAUCAUCUCGAAGACGUUUAUUCUUUCAGUGAAAUACGGAACCGUUCCGUAUUUUAUCUAACGGGUGGCAUCCAUAAGUCUAAAUAUUCCUGUUACAUUGCACAACCUUCAAUGUUAUGUCAUAAUUACCUAAAACUCUGGCAAAUUAGUUCGCCACGAGCCAGGCGGCCCAAACAUUUGCAUAUACCCUGACUCUGUGUGCAAUGAGCGCAAGAGAAAUGACACAAUUUCACCUGGUUAAUAUUGCCUGCUAACCUGGAUUUCUUUUUGCUAAAUAUGCAGGUUUCAAAAUAUAUACUUCUGUGUAUUGAUUUUAAGAAAGGCAUUGGUAUUUAUGGUUAGGUACACGUUGGAGCAACGACAGUCCUUUUUCGCGAAUGCGCACUGCAUCGAUUAUAUGCAACGCAGGACACGCUAGAUGAACUAGUAAUAUCAUCAACCAUGUGUAGAUAUAACUAGUGAUUAUGAUUGAUUAAGCUUAAUGCUAGCUAGCAACUUACCUUGGCUUCUUACUGCAUUCGCGGAACAGGUGGGCUCCUCGUGAGGCAGGUGGUUAGAGUGUUGGACUAGUUAACCCUAGGGUUGCAAGACUGAAUCCCUGAGCUGACAAGGUAAAAAUCUUGAACAAGGCAGUUAACCCACUGUUCCUAGGCCGUCAUUGAAAAUAAGAAUGUGUUCUUAACUGACUUGCCUAGUUAAAUAAAAA